rnacentral:rRNA from 1 species
GACGAACGCUGGCGGCGUGCCUAAUACAUGCAAGUAGAACGCUGAAGAGAGGAGCUUGCUCUUCUUGGAUGAGUUGCGAACGGGUGAGUAACGCGUAGGUAACCUGCCUUGUAGCGGGGGAUAACUAUUGGAAACGAUAGCUAAUACCGCAUAACAAUGGAUGACACAUGUCAUUUAUUUGAAAGGGGCAAUUGCUCCACUACAAGAUGGACCUGCGUUGUAUUAGCUAGUAGGUGAGGUAACGGCUCACCUAGGCGACGAUACAUAGCCGACCUGAGAGGGUGAUCGGCCACACUGGGACUGAGACACGGCCCAGACUCCUACGGGAGGCAGCAGUAGGGAAUCUUCGGCAAUGGGGGCAACCCUGACCGGGCAACGCCGCGUGAGUGAAGAAGGUUUUCGGAUCGUAAAGCUCUGUUGUAAGUCAAGAACGAGUGUGAGAGUGGAAAGUUCACACUGUGACGGUAGCUUACCAGAAAGGGACGGCUAACUACGUGCCAGCAGCCGCGGUAAUACGUAGGUCCCGAGCGUUGUCCGGAUUUAUUGGGCGUAAAGCGAGCGCAGGCGGUUUGAUAAGUCUGAAGUUAAAGGCUGUGGCUCAACCAUAGUUCGCUUUGGAAACUGUCAAACUUGAGUGCAGAAGGGGAGAGUGGAAUUCCAUGUGUAGCGGUGAAAUGCGUAGAUAUAUGGAGGAACACCGGUGGCGAAAGCGGCUCUCUGGUCUGUAACUGACGCUGAGGCUCGAAAGCGUGGGGAGCGAACAGGAUUAGAUACCCUGGUAGUCCACGCCGUAAACGAUGAGUGCUAGGUGUUGGAUCCUUUCCGGGAUUCAGUGCCGCAGCUAACGCAUUAAGCACUCCGCCUGGGGAGUACGACCGCAAGGUUGAAACUCAAAGGAAUUGACGGGGGCCCGCACAAGCGGUGGAGCAUGUGGUUUAAUUCGAAGCAACGCGAAGAACCUUACCAGGUCUUGACAUCCCGAUGCUAUUUCUAGAGAUAGAAAGUUACUUCGGUACAUCGGUGACAGGUGGUGCAUGGUUGUCGUCAGCUCGUGUCGUGAGAUGUUGGGUUAAGUCCCGCAACGAGCGCAACCCCUAUUGUUAGUUGCCAUCAUUCAGUUGGGCACUCUAGCGAGACUGCCGGUAAUAAACCGGAGGAAGGUGGGGAUGACGUCAAAUCAUCAUGCCCCUUAUGACCUGGGCUACACACGUGCUACAAUGGUUGGUACAACGAGUUGCGAGUCGGUGACGGCAAGCUAAUCUCUUAAAGCCAAUCUCAGUUCGGAUUGUAGGCUGCAACUCGCCUACAUGAAGUCGGAAUCGCUAGUAAUCGCGGAUCAGCACGCCGCGGUGAAUACGUUCCCGGGCCU